rnacentral:rRNA from 1 species
AGACCCGAAACCCGGUGAUCUAGCCAUGGGCAGGUUGAAGGUUGGGUAACACUAACUGGAGGACCGAACCGACUAAUGUUGAAAAAUUAGCGGAUGACCUGUGGCUGGGGGUGAAAGGCCAAUCAAACCGGGAGAUAGCUGGUUCUCCCCGAAAGCUAUUUAGGUAGCGCCUCGUGAAUUCAUCUCCGGGGGUAGAGCACUGUUUCGGCUAGGGGGCCAUCCCGGCUUACCAACCCGAUGCAAACUGCGAAUACCGGAGAAUGUUAUCACGGGAGACACACGGCGGGUGCUAACGUCCGUCGUGAAGAGGGAAACAACCCAGACCGCCAGCUAAGGUCCCAAAGUCAUGGUUAAGUGGGAAACGAUGUGGGAAGGCCCAGACAGCCAGGAUGUUGGCUUAGAAGCAGCCAUCAUUUAAAGAAAGCGUAAUAGCUCACUGGUCGAGUCGGCCUGCGCGGAAGAUGUAACGGGGCUAAACCAUGCACCGAAGCUGCGGCAGCGACACUCAGGUGUUGUUGGGUAGGGGAGCGUUCUGUAAGCCUGUGAAGGUGUGCUGUGAGGCAUGCUGGAGGUAUCAGAAGUGCGAAUGCUGACAUAAGUAACGAUAAAGCGGGUGAAAAGCCCGCUCGCCGGAAGACCAAGGGUUCCUGUCCAACGUUAAUCGGGGCA